rnacentral:rRNA from 1 species
UCCUGACUGACCGAUAGUGAACCAGUACCGUGAGGGAAAGGCGAAAAGAACCCCGGCGAGGGGAGUGAAAAAGAACCUGAAACCGUGUACGUACAAGCAGUGGGAGCACGCUUAGGCGUGUGACUGCGUACCUUUUGUAUAAUGGGUCAGCGACUUAUAUUCUGUAGCAAGGUUAACCGAAUAGGGGAGCCGAAGGGAAACCGAGUCUUAACUGGGCGUUAAGUUGCAGGGUAUAGACCCGAAACCCGGUGAUCUAGCCAUGGGCAGGUUGAAGGUUGGGUAACACUAACUGGAGGACCGAACCGACUAAUGUUGAAAAAUUAGCGGAUGACUUGUGGCUGGGGGUGAAAGGCCAAUCAAACCGGGAGAUAGCUGGUUCUCCCCGAAAGCUAUUUAGGUAGCGCCUCGUGAAUUCAUCUCCGGGGGUAGAGCACUGUUUCGGCAAGGGGGUCA